rnacentral:pre_miRNA from 1 species
GGGGGGAGUGCCGGAUCUUGGGCUGUGUCCCCGGCACCCUGUGCUCCCGGCCUGUUCUGUCGGAAUUGCCCUCCCGGCCGCGCAGCCCCCU